AUACGUAGGUGGCAAGCGUUGUCCGGAUUUACUGGGUGUAAAGGGCGUGUAGGCGGAGAUGCAAGUCAGGAGUGAAAUCUAGGGGCUCAACCCCUAAACUGCUUUUGAAACUGUAUCCCUUGAGUAUCGGAGAGGCAGGCGGAAUUCCUAGUGUAGCGGUGAAAUGCGUAUAGACUAGGAGGAACACCCAUGGCGAAGGAGUCCCACUGGACGACAACUGAAGCUGAGGCGCGAAAGCGUGAGGAGCAAACAGGAUUAGAUACCCUGGUAGUCCACGCUGUAAACGAUGUAUACUAGGGGUGUGGGGACUGACCCCCUCCGUGCCGCAGUUAACACAAUAAGUAGUCCACCUGGGGAGUACGAUCGCAAGAUGGAAACUCAAAUGAAUUUUCGGGG
rnacentral:rRNA from 1 species